rnacentral:rRNA from 1 species
CCUACGGGUGGCAGCAGUAGGGAAUAUUGCGCAAUGGGCGAAAGCCUGACGCAGCAACACCGCGUGAAUGAUAAGCGCUUCGGGGUUUAAAGCUUUGUUAAUAGGGACGAAUUUAGACUGUACUUAUAAAUGAAUCACCGGCUAACACCGUGCCAGCAGCAGCGGUAAUACGGAGGGUGCAAGCGUCGUCCGGCUUCAUUGGGGGUAAAGCGUUCGUAGGCGGCAAGGUAAGUAUGAUGUUAAAGCCCGGGGCUCAACUCCGGUUCGGCAUUGGAUACUAGCUAGCUAGAGUGUGGUAGAGGUAAGGGGAAUUCCGGGUGUAGCGGUGAAAUGCGUAGAUAUCAGGAGGAACACCGGUGGCGAAGGCGCUUUACUGGACCAUUAUUGACGCUGAGGAACGAAAGCGAGGGGAGCAAAUGGGAUUAGAUACCCCUGUAGUC